CCAGACUCCUACGGGAGGCAGCAGUGAGGAAUAUUGGUCAAUGGGCGGAAGCCUGAACCAGCCAAGUCGCGUGAGGGAAUAAGGCCCUACGGGUCGUAAACCUCUUUUGCCGGGGAGCAAGGGCGGGGACGUGUCCCGGCCCGGAGAGUACCCGGAGAAAAAGCAUCGGCUAACUCCGUGCCAGCAGCCGCGGUAAUACGGAGGAUGCGAGCGUUAUCCGGAUUUAUUGGGUUUAAAGGGUGCGUAGGCGGGCUUUUAAGUCAGCGGUAAAAAUUCGGGGCUCAACCCCGUCCGGCCGUUGAAACUGGGGGCCUUGAGUGGGCGAGAAGAAGGCGGAAUGCGUGGUGUAGCGGUGAAAUGCGUAGAUAUACGGAGGAACACCAGUGGCGAAGGCGGAUUGCUGGACAGUAACUGACGCUGAGGCGCGAAAGCGUGGGGAGCAAACAGGAUUAGAUACCCGUGUAC
rnacentral:rRNA from 1 species